GCCUAGCCGUAAAACACAAUUAAACUACCAAUUGUUCGCCAAACAACUACGAGCCAUACUUGAAACUUAAAAGACUUGACGGUACUUCAUCACGGCCUAGAGGAGCCUGUCUAAUAACCGACAAUCCACGAUUAACCCAGCCCCUUCUUGCCCAACAGUCUAUAUACCACCGUCGCCAGCUUACCUUGUAAAAGAAAUAAAGUGAGCUAAAUAGUACAACACUAAAACGACAGGUCGAGGUGUAACUUAUGAAGAGGACCGAGAUGGGCUACAUUCUCCAACCGAGAAUACGAAUAACACUAUGAAAUUAAUGUUUAAAGGCGGAUUUAGCAGUAAGAUAAGAAUAAAAUACUUAACUGAACACAACGCAAUGAAGUGCGUACACACCGCCCGUCAUCCCUGCCACCACAAUAUCAACCUUAAUAAACUAACCUAAAAAAUCAAACAGGGCAAGUCGUAACAUGGUAAGUGUACUGGAAAGUGUACUUAGAAA
rnacentral:rRNA from 1 species